GGAAACCUCACCAGGGCAAGACAUAGCUAGGAUUGACAGAUUGAGAGUUCUUUCUUGAUUCUAUGAGUGGUGGUGCAUGGCCGUUCUUAGUUGGUGGAGCGAUUUGUCUGGUUAAUUCCGUUAACGAACGAGACCCCGAUCUGCUAAAUAGCUAGUGUGAAGUGAGGGAAGAUAACUGGUGUGCCUUGUGUGUGCUGGCCUCCCCUAAUAUAUUUGGCACUCAGCUUCUUAGAAAGACUACGUGUGUGAACGCGAGGAAGCUCGGGGUAAUAA
rnacentral:rRNA from 1 species